GACAUAGGUGGCGAACGUUAUCCGGAAUUAUUGGGCGUAAAGAGCUUGUAGGCGGUUUGUCGCGUCUGCUGUGAAAUUUCGGGGCUCAACCCCGAACUUGCAGUGGGUACGGGCAGACUAGAGUGUGGUAGGGGAGACUGGAAGUCCUGGUGUAGCGGUGAAAUGCGCAGAUAUCAGGAGGAACACCGGUGGCGAAGGCGGGGUCUCGUGGGCCGUAACUGGACGCUGGAGGAGCGAAAGCAUGGGGAGCGAACAGG
rnacentral:rRNA from 1 species